rnacentral:rRNA from 1 species
CACGGAGUUAGCCGGUGCUUAUUCUGCAGGUACCGUCAUCACACUACACGUAGUGUUUAUUCUUCCCUGUCAAAAGCAGUUUACGACUCAGAAAGCCUUCUUCCUGCACGCGGCAUGGCUGGGUCAGGCUCUCGCCCAUUGCCCAAUAUUCCCUACUGCUGCCUCCCGUAGGAGUCGGGCCCGUAUCUCAGUGCCCGUGUGGGGGACCAGCCUCUCAGCUCCCCUAGUCAUCGUCGCCUUGGUAAGCCGUUACCUUACCAACUAGCUAAUGACCCGCAACCCCAUCUAUAACCAAUAAAUCUUUACUAAUCAAAUGAUGCCAUUUAACUAGCUUAUGCGGUAUUAAUCCGCCUUUCGGCGGGCUAUCCCCCAGUUAUAGGUAGGUUAGUUACGUGUUACGCACCCGUGCGCCACUAUGGUAUUGCUACCACCGUUCGACUUGCAUGUAUUAGGCCUGCCGCUAGCGUUCAUCCUGAGCCAGGAUCAAACUCU